AGGUUACUUCGGUAACUGACCUAGCGGCGGACGGGUGAGUAAUGCUUAGGAAUCUGCCUAUUAGUGGGGGGCAACAUUCCGAAAGGAAUGCUAAUACCGCAUACGUCCUACGGGGGAAAGCAGGGGAUCUUCGGACCUUGCGCUAAUAGAUGAGCCUAAGUCGGAUUAGCUAGUUGGUGGGGUAAAGGCCUACCAAGGCGACGAUCUGUAGCGGGUCUGAGAGGAUGAUCCGCCACACUGGGACUGAGACACGGCCCAGACUCCUACGGGAGGCAGCAGUGGGGAAUAUUGGACAAUGGGCGGAAGCCUGAUCCAGCCAUGCCGCGUGUGUGAAGAAGGCCUUUUGGUUGUAAAGCACUUUAAGCGAGGAGGAGGCUCCUUUAGUUAAUACCUAAAGAGAGUGGACGUUACUCGCAGAAUAAGCACCGGCUAACUCUGUGCCAGCAGCCGCGGUAAUACAGAGGGUGCGAGCGUUAAUCGGAUUUACUGGGCGUAAAGCGUGCGUAGGCGGCUUUUUAAGUCGGAUGUGAAAUCCCUGAGCUUAACUUAGGAAUUGCAUUCGAUACUGGAAAGCUAGAGUAUGGGAGAGGAUGGUAGAAUUCCAGGUGUAGCGGUGAAAUGCGUAGAGAUCUGGAGGAAUACCGAUGGCGAAGGCAGCCAUCUGGCCUAAUACUGACGCUGAGGUACGAAAGCAUGGGGAGCAAACAGGAUUAGAUACCCUGGUAGUCCAUGCCGUAAACGAUGUCUACUAGCCGUUGGGGCCUUUGAGGCUUUAGUGGCGCAGCU
rnacentral:rRNA from 1 species